UGAGGAAUAUUGGUCAAUGGACGAGAGUCUGAACCAGCCAAGUAGCGUGCAGGAUGACGGCCCUAUGGGUUGUAAACUGCUUUUGUUUGGGAAUAAUCGACAUUACGUGUAAUGUUUUGCAUGUACCAUUCGAAUAAGGACCGGCUAAUUCCGUGCCAGCAGCCGCGGUAAUACGGAAGGUCCAGGCGUUAUCCUGAUUUAUUGGGUUUAAAGGGAGUGUAGGCGGUUGGUUAAGCGUGUUGUGAAAUGUAGAUGCUCAACAUCUGACUUGCAGCGCGAACUGGCUGACUUGAGUACACACAACGUAGGCGGAAUUCAUGGUGUAGCGGUGAAAUGCUUAGAUAUCAUGAAGAACUCCGAUUGCGAAGGCAGCUUACGGGAGUGUUACUGACGCUUAAGCUCGAAGGUGCGGGUAUCGAACAGG
rnacentral:rRNA from 1 species